CAGCCAUGCCGCGUGCAGGAAGAAUGCCCUAUGGGUUGUAAACUGCUUUUAUUUGGGAAUAAACCUCUUUACGUGUAGAGAGCUGAAGGUACCAAAUGAAUAAGCACCGGCUAACUCCGUGCCAGCAGCCGCGGUAAUACGGAGGGUGCAAGCGUUAUCCGGAAUCAUUGGGUUUAAAGGGUCCGCAGGCGGAUUUAUAAGUCAGUGGUGAAAUCCUAUCGCUUAACGAUAGAACUGCCAUUGAUACUGUAAGUCUUGAAUUCGGUCGGAGUGGGCGGAAUGUGUAGUGUAGCGGUGAAAUGCAUAGAUAUUACACAGAACACCGAUAGCGAAGGCAGCUCACUAGGCCUGAAUUGACGCUCAGGGACGAAAGCGUGGGGAUCAAACAGGAUUAGAUACCCUGGUAGUCCACGCUGUAAACGAUGAUUACUCGUUUUCGGCGAUAUACAGUCGGAGACUAAGCGAAAGUGAUAAGUAAUCCACCUGGGGAGUACGAUCGCAAGGUUG
rnacentral:rRNA from 1 species